rnacentral:lncRNA from 1 species
GGCGGCGGGGGCGGGGGCGGCGCGGGCAGCGUCAAGCUCGAGGAAAGCACAGAUGGCUCAACAUCCGUUGGAAAACAAAGAAGUGGUUCUAUUGGAGAUCGUCCUGCAAGACCUACUCUCUUAGAGCAAGUGUUAAAUCAAAAACGGCUGGCAUUAUUAAGAAGUCCAGAAGUUGUGCAGUUUCUGCAGAAACAGCAACAGCUACUAAAUCAACAAGUUUUGGAGCAAAGACAACAACAACAGUUUCCUGGAGCAUGAGUGUGAAGGGACUAAUUGAGGUUAUCCACAGGUUUAGUAUCUCACUGUACUGGCUGAAGAUAUUUUUAUAUUGAAGAGAAAUAGGUUACAGCAGUCAAGUAGAACACUUGCAUAUGACUGUCAUAAAACCUUUUCCUCGAAAUAC